GCCUAGCCGUAAACUUUUACUCACAUCCAAUUCGCCAGGGAACUACGAGCCAAGCUUAAAACCCAAAGGACUUGACGGUACCCCAUAUCCACCUAGAGGAGCCUGUCCUAUAAUCGAUAAUCCACGUUUAACCUCACCAUUUUUAGUUACUCAGCCUGUAUACCUCCGUCGUCAGCUUACCACGUGAGCGUCAAUUAGUGAGCUUAAUGUUUUUCACCAAUACGUCAGGUCAAGGUGCAGCAAAUGAAAUGGGAAGAGAUGGGCUACACUUUCUAUUUUAGAAGAAACGGAAAACUACCUAUGAAAUCUAGUUAGAAGGCGGAUUUAGCAGUAAAAAGGAAUCAGCAUAUCCAUUUUAACCCGGCACUGGGGUGUGU
rnacentral:rRNA from 1 species